rnacentral:tRNA from 1 species
UAUAUAAAAGUAAUAUUUACAUUUAAUUUCGACUUAAAAUUAAAAAAUUAAAAUUUUCAUAUAU